UUAGGGGUUGGGUCGCCCUGAGGCUGACAGGGUAUCACCAGCUCCCUGCCUACUUCUUGAAGGUACUCGGCACGAGGCGAGACACGGAAAGAAGGGGGGUCCUAUGCACAUCACCAGAUUGCAAACAAGAGAAAUGGUGUCAGCAAUCAGUGUCAGCAUCACUUCCAUCUUUUCUCCAGAUGAUGGUGGGUUUGGGGUUUCCAUGAGCAUCACAGCGGAGGCAGGAGAAUCCGACAUUCAAACCAGCCCUCAUCCUCCAGAGUCAACUUAUCCACCAGAAGAGACGCGCCACGGCUCAAGGACACACGACCUGCCCCGAAAAUCAGAGAGACAAGCAAUUAUUCAUAAGUGUUUUGAAAAAUGAGAUAAAGAAUGAGAAAUCACACAAAACUGCAGCUCAAACAUUAGAGCAAGCGCUAGCAACUCAUGGGUUUUGAUUCCCAGGGAAAGCAUGCACUUAAUAAAACGUGUACCUUAAAUGCAAUGUACAUUUUUUUGGUAUAAAGCAUCUGCAAAAUGCAUAAAACGUAAAUGUAAAACUGCUGCCUAAUACAAAGUACAGAAUCAGAUGAGAUCCUGCACAAAUUUGAAAGUAGCCACAGUUUUGCGCAUAUUCCAAAAACCACAUGCAAAUCCAAGUGAGAUUAUUAUAGCCCUGGUACUUCACAAGUCAAUAAGGAAUUUAAUAUAUAAACACUGAAUUUAAUACAGAUAAGUGUAUGGAAUUGAAAGUUAUUCAGGCCCCAAUUGUAUGCUUGAUCACUAUUUUACAUAAAGUAACGAUUAUAUUCCUUAAUGCACAACUCAAUAAAUCAUAUAGAGACAAAGAAAAUAUUUUUUCCAGCUCAGAGUAAAAAGAAGCACCUGCUUUUGUUUACCGCACAGGCACUUGUAAACGUGGAAAGACCAACUCAGCUCCACAAAAAUCUGAACAGCUCUCUGCAUGAUGUAACACGGUCAGCUGUUUUCCUCAUAUCCAUACUCAAAACAAAAACAACCCCACAAACCCGCAUUGGCCUAAGCGUUAUUGAAAUAUGAUAUGAAUGGAGCACACAGACACAAAUCAGUUUCAAAGCAAUAGAAACAGCUGAAUCUACUACUCUUUGAAAUAUGAUAUGCGCGUACUUGAGUCUGGUUUUUCAACCUCGACCUCUCCCUCUACUUUCAUUCUGCUUUUUUUCUGAAUUCCAGGGUUGUAAAUGAUGACACACUGAUAACGCAGUGGAUGCCGGCUGUGAGUGUGUUUCCGCUUUGCUGGAAGCGGUCGUUGAAGUUUGAAAGUGAGCCAAGAACCCUGCGUAGAGUACGAAAUCAUACCGUGACAAUUUAAUGCCAAAUGGCUACAGCUGAGGAAUUACAAUACAAACACACCUGGAGUCUGACAUAGCGCUGAACCCUCCAGUGGUGUGUGCAGGUGUGUCAGCGUUAGAUUUACACUUCCAGACUUCAGUCAAGCAUCACAAACCCUAAAUUUAAGCACUGAACUUCAGUCUGUAAACCUUCUCGCAUAACAUGAAUGAUUUGACAAAAUCCUUUAGACGGAGUAAAAAUCUGGUUAAUAUCUGUGGCUCGGUCAACUGCAAUCCACUCUUUAGACAGUAAGAAACAUCCGAUUCUGAUCGUGUGUGGGACUCAACAGUAAUCUAAAGUUAACUCCAGACUGAUGAACUGAAGGCCUGUCCUAACGUGCCCUAUCCUUUAUCUUUUAUCAAAUGUGCUGCAUUGUUCUUUGCUUGGCAGGUCUAUUCAUCAAAUCAAGAGUGCUUAUAGGAGAGAGAAAAAACACAAGAGAUCUUAUUUUGAUAUCUCAAUUGUUUCCAGACAAUACUGGGAUUCAACAGCCAAAGUCUGCAAUCAAAAAUCAGACAAUUUCUAAUCAAAUGAUCUGAGCUGCUAUCCACAUUCACUUUUAUGGCUGUUACUGUAGGACAACUAUGUACCUAAAAUCAAAUAAUAAAUAAAUAAAAUAGACACAAGCUAAAUAAAAAUACACAGACAAAGAGGUCUCUUCUGUUCACAGAGACUGCAUUUAUUUAAUUAAAAUGUAAUAAAAUUGUGAAAUAUAUUACAAUUUUAAAUAAUUGUUUUCUAUUUAAAUAUAUUUAUAUUGUAAUUUAUAUUUGCGAUACAAAGCUGAAUUUUUAGCAGCAAUUAAUAUGCUGAUUUUAAUAUUCUGGUUGGCUGCUCAAGAAAAAAAUAUUCAAUGUUGAAACGUUUAUAUUUCUAUUGAAGCUGUUUGUUUUUAUUAGUCUAUUAUUCUCACUAACGCUGCAUUAAUUUGACAAAAAAUCCAGUAAAAACAGUGAUAUUGUGAAAUAUUAUUAUGAUUUAAAAUAACUGCUUUCUAUUUGAAUACAUUUUAAAAUUGAAUUUAUUUCUGUGAUGCAAAGCUGAAUUUUCCGCAUCAUUACUCGAGUCAUCAGUGUCACGAUUCUUCAGAAAUCAUUCUAAAAUGCCGAUUUGCUUCUCAUGAAACAUUUCUGAUUACUAUCAAUGUUAAAAACUGCUUGUUGUGCUGCUUCAUACUUUGGUUUGUUCCUGCUUUUCAGGAUUUCUGAUGAAUAGACUGUUCAAAAGAGCUGAAUUUAUUUGAAACCUUUUGUAACAUUAUAAAUGUCUUU